GCGCCUGUAGCUCAGUUGGAUAGAGCAUCUGCCUUCUAAGCAGAGGGUCGUGGGUUCGAUUCCCGCCAGGCGCACCA
rnacentral:tRNA from 1 species